rnacentral:rRNA from 1 species
CCCUUAGAUGUUCUGGGCCGCACGCGCGCUACACUGACGAAUGCAACGAGCUUAUAACCUUGGCCGAAAGGUCUGGGUAAUCUCCAAAUUUCGUCGUGAUGGGGAUAGAUUAUUGCAAUUAUUAAUCUUCAACGAGGAAUGCCUAUUAAGCGCAAGUCAUCAGCUUGCGUUGAUUACGUCCCUGCCCUUUGUACACACCGCCCGUCGCUCCUACCGAUUGAAUGGUCCGGUGAAGCGUUCGGACCGUGGCCUUUGGACGGUUCGCCGUCUGUUGGCUGCGGGAAGUUCGUUAAACCUUAUCAUUUAGAGGAAGGAGAAGUCGUANCA